AUUGAACGCUAGCGGGAUGCUUUACACAUGCAAGUCGAACGAGUGGCGGACGGGUGCGUAAUAUAUCGGCACGUGCCCAGUAGCGGGGGAUAACUACUCGAAAGCGUGGCUCCUACCGCAUACUCUUGGAGCGGCCGCCAGCGGCUUAGCUAGUGGGUGGGGUGAAGGUUCACCCAGGCAACGAUCCGUAGCUGGUAUGAGAGGACGACCAGCCAGACGGGUACGGAGACCCGGCCCAGGAUCCUACGGGAGGCAGCAGGGGGGAAUUUUGGGCAAGGGGGGAAAGCCGGAGCGAGCCAGCCCGCGUGUAUGAGAAGGCGUGCGGGUGGGAAAGUACUGUUGGCAGAGAAGCGGUAUCUGCAGAAUAAGCACCGGCUAACUACGUGCCAGCAGCCGCGGUAAUUC
rnacentral:rRNA from 1 species